GUAGAGGGAGCCGGCCGACUUCCCCCUUCCCCGCGGCCGCCGCCCCCCCGGCCGCGCGCUAUUGGUUGGGGCCGAGCGUUCGCGGGGCUCGAGGGCGGAAGUGGGGCAGGUCGAGGCGCUGCAUAUUCAUGAGGCGCGCGCAGGCCCGCCUGUUAAUGAGGGCAGGGCGGGCGGGCUGAGGCGGGCGCGCGGGCGGGCGGGAGGGAGGGAGGAGGCGCGCGCGCGUGGGCGCGGGGCGGAGGGGCCGCAGCCAUGGAGCCGCCCGCCGCGGGGUCGGGGCCGGGGUCGGGGCCGGGGUCGGGGCCGGUCCCGGGCCGCGGAGGCCGGGACAAGAAGAAGGGCCGGAACCCGGAGGAGCCGCCCGCCGCGGGGGGCGGGGGCGACGGCAGCAAGUCCAAGAAAUUCGGAAGAUAGUAUUCCCCCUCCCUCCCCAAUGUGGGGAGGGAUGACCCAAGUCCAAGAAAUUCGUGAGUAAUCUUAUUACUUCUUAUACAUUUCCCGUGAUAACCGUGUUGUCAGUUUUCCACUAGCCCCUCCUUUCCCCCCCCCCGCCUCCCUCCUCCCCAGUCAUUCCAUAUGCCACUAAUAAAUCCCCCGAUCUAGCCCCUCACCAUCUUCCCUAACCCCAGCCCCCCGCCCCUCUUUACUGUGAUGGGAAACUAAACUGUUUCUAUUGGAGAAUCUGGGCAAGGCCCCCUUGCCCCUAAAGAGUGAUCUCCAUGUAAUCUUUGACCUGAUCCAUUUUCGUGUUCAUAACUCCCCUCUCCCACUAAACCACCCCCCACCGCCACAUCCCAACCAACUCUUCUGUCCUGGGGACUGUUCAGUUUGGAAAGACUCGGAGCCCUCUGGCCCCCGUGACAGAAGAAGGGCGAGGGGUAAAGCCAAGUUCCUCCUGGAGUACCCGUUUUGUGCAAGUUGUGACUGUUUCAAAGGGCCUUCUCCCUGACCUUUGCCUUCUCCCCCUCCCUGUCCCACAGUUGGUUUUUUUGGUAACUUUUUCCUCCUCCUCCCUGAUUCUUGCUCCCCCUCCUUCCCACUUUCCACUCUGUCCUCCCCCUACGUGCGUGAGAAGAGAGAGAAGGUGAUAGGACGUUGACGUGGGGUGUUGCGGGGUGGCUUGGACAUGAGCAGAGCGGUGGCCCAGUGAAUCUGUCCUCCCUCCAGCAAGGCCCAGGGUCCUGAUGGUUGCUUUUUUUCGCCGCGAACUGAUUUAUUUCGUUUCCCACGUUUGCCUCUCUUGCUGUUGACCGGCCCCGUAUGGGUUGUGCGGGCUGGUGACCCCCAUCUCUCUCCGGGCCCCGACUCCUCCACCCCCCGACCGGUUCCGUGGUGGGGCCGGUCCGCGAUGCCGGGCGGCGUGGGCCGGACGGGCCGAUGGAAUAGGACCUCCCGCCCUCCCUUUGCAGAGACUGUAACAUUCCCGGCCCCCCCAUGUGAAUUUCUUCGGUCCCUCCAGGUCUCCACCCUCCUCAGAUUCCUUUGGUCCUCGCAGAACUCCAGCUUCUUGCUCGGCACGGGGGCCCACUAAGGUCACCCCUGCCCUUUCCACCGAGUCCGGCCCUGGCCCGUCGCCACUGCUUUCACCUGUGUAGGGCGAGGCGCCUCUGAUAUUCCAGUCGGCUCCGUCCCACCUGAAUGUGGAAUGUGGACGGGGGACUGAGUUUCUCCUCCACCUUCGUAGAGUGGAUUUGGCAGGAGUUGUUUGCGUUUGUUUAGAGGCCGGGUGGGGGGAGGUGAACUUGCCCUUUCUGGAGUUGUGGGGCUUAACCCUUCUCUCCCUGGAGUUUUGGGUCCGGUCUUACCACCCGGGGGGUUGGGGUUUGUCCAACAAGAAGCGCCGUUUGUUGAACCUUUUCAUUUAUGACAAAACAGGUAGACGACUGUAGUCGCCUUCAGAGAGCGACUGUGGGAACACAAGAGGAAGGAGGACUCAGGAACCUCUGAAGUUCCUUUUUCCCCGCCAGAAUGGGUUUGGGGGAGAACGAGACUUCUGGCACGCUGGCUCUGCCUCAGCCUCAGAAGGAGAUUUUGGGGUUCUCAGCCGGGAGGUACAGAAUCCUCAGGAGACAGCUCGGCUCUGUUCCCUAGAUGCCGGAUCACCGACCAAGUUCCUGUCCCAGAGGGCCAGGCAGUGUCUCUUUUGAAGCUCCCUGCAGCGUGCUGAUCGAGGGCCUCUGAGUAUUUCCGUCCCCGGCCCCGAGCAUCACUGAUGCCGUGAGGAGGUGCCGGGGCGGCUUCUGACACCCGCUCUUGGCGGGUCCCCGUGUUCGCCGGGGGUGGGAGAGGAGGGAGGAGCUGCUGGGUGAAGAGGCAGCUGUGGCUUCCCAACCAGCAGAGGAAGUGGACGGGAGUGG
rnacentral:lncRNA from 1 species